GCCCUGGUGGCAGAACAGUUAAGCACUCAACUGCUAACUGAAAGGUUGGUGGUUCGAACCUACCCAAUGGCU
rnacentral:tRNA from 1 species